UACGUAGGUGGCAAGCGUUGUCCGGAUUUACUGGGCGUAAAGGGCGUGCAGGCGGUUUGUUAAGUGCAGGGUGAAAGCUCCCGGCUCAACUGGGAGAGGUCCUUGCAUACUGGCGAACUCGAGGGAGGCAGAGGAAAGUGGAAUUCCCGGUGUAGUGGUGAUAUGCGUAGAUAUCGGGAGGAACACCUGUGGCGAAGGCGGCUCUCUGGACCUGUCCUGACGCUGAGGCGCGAAAGCUAGGGGAGCGAACAGG
rnacentral:rRNA from 1 species